ensembl:lncRNA
GCUAGCUAUAAGAAGAAGCUAGCGCAGUAUUCUCUGUAUGGACAUCAUGGCUAAACCAAUGACGGUGUUGUCGGAGGAAGCGGAAUGACAUUCAAUUCUCCGUAUUACAAGUUAGUGUACCAGUGUUAUUGUCAGGUCCAAUUCUUACUUAAUGUUUCCUUAACACCCAACUGGGUAAACUACUAACUUAAGACCCAACUAUAAACUACUUUUUUUUUUUCUUUUUAACUGUUAUGAUGUAGUUCACCUUUUUAUUUUUCUGUUUUUUAUAAUGCACUUCACCUUUUCUACUCUUUUAUUGUGUUCGGUUUUGUCUGCUCAUUUGUAAAGCACUUUGAGUUACCAAUGUGUAUGAAUUAUUGUUAUAUAAAUAAACUUGCCUUGCCUUACCUCCUUCCCUUUAUUAACUGGGCUACGAGCAAAACAAUUGGCUGGUAUGUAUGUCCAUCGCUGAGGAAGCUUCCUGAUUGGUUAAAGAGCUUUGAAUAACAGAACGCUGGAGAUGGUUUUCUUCCUGUUCAGGUGUAACAUGUGCGGCACCACAUUAUUUCAUGACCCAUUACCUGAACAGCUGUUCUGAGUCUCUCUAAAUGUAUAACUGAGUCAUCUUCAUCCCCCUCCAGAGCCUGGAACCUCAAACAUCCAUACAGCACUUAGGAUGGUCAUAAUUUAGGAUGCUCAUAAUUUAUUAGGAUGGUCAUAAUUUAGGAUGCUCAUAAUUUAGGAUGCUCAUAAUUUAGAUUGGUCAUAAUUUAGGUUGGUCAUAAUUUAGGAUGGUCAUAAUUUAGAAUGCUCAUAAUUUAGGAUUGUCAUAAUUUAGGAUGGUCGUAAUUUAGGAUGGUCGUAACUUUCAAUGUCUGUCGUAGCUUUAGACCUCCACUGUUGGGAUACGACUCUCUGAGAAAGUUAUAAAAGUGCUACCUGGACCUUUGAGGUUCUAGACCGGGGUACCUUUGAGGUUCUAGACCGAGGUACCUGUUGUUUUAAGCUACCUGGAUCUUUGAGGUUCUAGACCGGGGUACCUGUUGUUUUAAGCUACCUGGAUCUUUG